GGCUGGUUAGCUCAGUCAGUUGAGCGUGGCGCUGACAACACCAAGGUCGCGGAUUUGAUUCCCGUUCGGUCCU
rfam:Apaloderma vittatum contig70158, whole genome shotgun sequence.